GUCAAAUCCGGAAUUUAGCUUUUGUGGAAGAUUUUUGUAAGGUUUGUGAUCGUUGUGCUCCCCGCUCACCCGCUUAAGCUCAUUCUAACAACUUCUAAAGCUAAGGUAAUCAAGUGAAUCAAAGACGUGAUGGAUGAUUGC